GCCAGUCCAUUGCCAGCUUUGCCAAGCAUGACACUAGCAAAGGAACAAAAACCCAGUGCUCCUUGUUCCACCCACAAGAUCCCAAAGGCCACUGGACCCUGCCGAGCGCCCAACAAUUUCUAGUGUAUAACAUGUCAUUUGCAAACAGAGAUAGUUUGGCUUCCUUUUCAACUUGUAUCUCUUUAAUUUCCUUCUCUUACUUUUUGCCAGCUAGUGGUGUGAACACAGUAUUGAAAAGGAGUAGAUACAGAGGACAGCCUUGUCUCAUUCCUGACCUCAGUGGUAUUGUUUCAAGUUUUUCUCCAUUUAGAAUGAUGUUCUGUUGGCUCUGGAUUUCUCAUAUCUAGCUUUUAUGAUGUUGAGGUAUACUUCCUCUAGUUCUACACUCUUUAGGACUUUUAUCAUGAAGGCAUAUUGGAUUUUGUCAAAGGCUUUUUUUCCCUGCAUCUAUUAAGAUAAUCAUGUGAUUUUUUUUUUGUCUUUUAAGCUCAUUCAUGUAAUUUACUGUAUUUAUUGACAUUCAUAUAGUAAACCAUCCCUGCAUUUCAUGGAUAAAGCCAUCUUGGUUAUCAUGGGUGGAUAACCCUUUUGAUGUCUGUCCACAAGUAUUUUAUUGAGAAUUUUAAAAUCUAUGUUCAUCCGGGAUAUUGGCCUGAAGUUUUUCUUCUUCUUGUGUCUUUACCUGGUUUGGGUAUUAAUAUGAUACUGACCUUGUAGAAGUUUGAGAGCGCUCCUUUUAAAAAAAAAUUCUUAAGAAGGGCUGACUGCAGAGCUUCGAAAGUCUGGUAGAAUUCUGCUAUGUAUCUAUCUCCCUCUUGAAUUUUUUUAGUUGGAAAGCUUUAUAUUUCUAUUUCAGUCUCAUUUGUUAUGAGUGUUUGAGUUGUUCACUUCUUCUAGGUUUAAUUUUAGUGGUUUGGCUGAAUAUAGAAAUUCAACCUAUGUUUUAUGUUCUCCAACCUAAUGGAGAAUAGGGUUUUAAGUACUCCCUUAAAAUAUUCUGAAUUUAUUUGGUUGUCUGGUGUAGUUUUCCUGUUAAUUUGAAUCCCUUCUUUUGAUAGUUGGGCAGGGCUCUACAAUCUUAUCUGCCUAAAGUACCAGCUCUUAGAUUAAUUUAUUCUUAUUGUUUUAUUUCUAUUGCACUAAUUUCUGCUCUGAUUUUUUUUAUUAUUUUUUGAUGUCCAGUGAGUUUAUAAUUGUUCUUUUAAAUUCUCUGUUCUGGGUUUAUCUAGAUAGUUCUCAUUGGCAAACAUUUCUACAAGACUGGUAGGUUUGAGAGGGGAGAAACCGGCUUGGUCUUUCCUACUGACAGUGUUUUUAUGAGAUCUGGGCCUAUGGACUUCUUUUGUUAGGUCUGUGUCCAAUAUGGACAGAUUGGUUGGGGCAAAUGAGAGGAUGUGCAUGCAGGUUUGGCUUAGUGGCUGCAAAUGGCUGCGGUGGAAUAAAGUCAGGUGGCCCUAGGGGACUUGGCUGGUGUGCAGGAUGUGAGUUCUAGAGUAUGGGGUAGAUCUGGCUGAGUGGGAGAGUUUGCAUGUGUGGUGAGAGGGCCUUGUGGGUCAUGGCAGGCAGGUCCGAUGCUGGAGGAAUCUUAAAGGUUGGUUGUGGUGUGGUAGCCAGACUAGACCUGGGCACUGCUUGUAGGAUGUGGGCUAGCUCUGACAAGGUGAAGAGGGAGAGGGUCAGGCAGACUUUCCAGGCUAGACCUGGAGGAGGAUAUCCAAACUGCAUUUUCAGUCUCCACCAUAGAUACCUUUUCCUUAGCUUGUCUGUCCCUCUAUUACCAAUCUCCAAAUUAAGCCUAGAAAACCUAGCCUAAUCCAAUGCGCCUGCUUCUCAGUGCCCAGCUUUCCCUUGAGUCAGCCAUCAUACCCUGGAAGGUAGGGUGGAGUUCCAUCUUCCUUUUCAGACUGUUCCUGCCGUGGAGAGUGCCAGGCCCUUCAGAGGAGGUGGGCUUUCCACCUGGCAUCCAAGUGCAGGGCAGCAGCAAAUGAGAAGAGAUCCUGACCUGUCUCCAAGAGCCCCGAAUACCCAGGAUCCAGGUAGGAGCUUGGAGCCUGUGAGACAGAGCUCAAGUGUUAUGGAGAGGGCUCCAGUUCCCUCUGCUCUCCACUCAGCAGCAGUUUGGGUUCUUGUGCUCCGGAAACAGAAGAGCUCAGAUGGGACAUCGUAGAAGAUCAAGCAUCCAGAAACUAAUGAGAGCAAGCAGGGGAAGUAGAAUACACAUCAGAACAAGCAGGCCAAGCAGGAUGGGCUCCCAUGUCACCUGCCCCUGCCAUUCCUGCUCUGUCCCUCCCUCAGCAUGGACACACCCAGGACAGGAACAUGCUUCUCCUGAAAGCCUGUUUUACCAUGCACUCAGUCUAGGUAGAUAGAUAAGAAGAUGCAAGAAUAUGCAUGGGGGGGGGGGUAAGAACCCCCAAGACUGAACAGCUUACUAGAGCAAGGGUGGCAGCGUGCUUCACACACUCGUCUGGUCCGAAAGCCCAUGAGGAGAGUUGAGCUGUACAAGCUCCUCAGCUACAGGCACUAGUCUUCUCUAGGCCUGCUUCACCACCGUCUUUGCAUCACUAGUCUACUCUAGGGCCUGCUUCACUAUUGUCUUUGCGUCCUCAUUUUGGGGUGGAGUCAACUACCACCACCUUGUUUAUGUCCUGACCAACAGUCAACCAUUACUGGCGUCUCUUGAUCCUAUUUCAGGGUCAUGAGCAGGCACAGAGACUGUUCUCCUGUCCUAUGUUUGGCAGUUCAUUGAGGAGCUAGCCCCUGCCUAAUACAAGGACCAUGAAGUAUAAUGCCAACAGGAAAGGAUCAUGGAAUCUACUGUAUUGUUAGUUCCAUUUAGACACUAUCUGUGCUCUAUAAGCAUGAACAAGCCUGUGCCAUCACACUGGGAUAGUGCCAGCUAGCCCAUCAUAGAGGAUGGGGGCCCACUGAACCUUGUGUUGGUGAGCAGGCCUGGGGAAGGGACCACGAACAAGCAGGAAUGAACAUCCUCAGAACAGAGUUGAAGGUAAAGUGCCAACAGAAGUCAUCGAAGAAGGAGUUUUCAGGGCCACAUCAGAAUCCCGUGAGACCUGCAGAGGAACAGGAGACCAGACACUGAGCCAGAAGGGACAUGACUGACAUUUUGCAUUUGUUUUCAUUAAAUGCUUUCUGGCAGGUCGUAACUGCGUUUUGCUCCUAUUUCCAGUGAGUGGACACAGCUCACCAGCAAUUUUUGGAUGCAAAAUCUAGUAGAAGUGGUUACCCGUGCUCAAACUGCUCCCCAUAAGCCGUGUGCCCCAGAGGUAGCAACAUGAACCCUAGUGGAUGGUGGCUGUCAGCCACAAAGGAAGUCUGACACCUUCUGGGGCAGAAUCCUACACUGAUUCUAGUUUAAAGUACCUCUUCCACAUUUUUAUUACAGAGUCUCACUGUUUGGUCCUGGCUGUCUGGCCUGAAACUGGCUUUGUUGAGCAGGCUGGCCUCAAGAUCAGAGAACUGCCUAUUUCUGCUCUGGAGUGCUGGGAUUGAAGGCUUGUACCAACGAAUCAGACUUCCUUCCACUGUAAAGUAUUUCAAUACUAUACAGUAUUCAAACUACCGUAAAGAAAAUAUGCCCUCAGGCAUUUCUGUCCAUUACUUCAAUCUUUUAAGCAUGAGCUCCAUGACUAUAAACAGCAUUUUCAGGAAUGGACCUACCCGUCUAUGAAUAUGUUGAAGCUCCCUGAAUAAAACCUCCUUGCUUUCUGUAUUUAAAUCAGACAUUGCCUUCCAAAUGAUGCCCAUGCUCUCCUUACCUUCUACAAGUAGUGAAUCUCCACUCUCGGCUGAUUUUGACUUUGGGCUUACCCACAUGACAGCCCUGGUUCAGUUGCAGUGUCUUCUAACCUUACAGGAGCGAACAAGGACAUUCCAUACAUUUGAUCAGCAACUGAUUUCAGACGCACGGCUUAACCUUGUGUUGGCUCCUUUGUGGAAGAGAAAGCCUCCCAGGAUGAAUGAAGGGGAGAGCAUUCACCUGAAUGCAGAAAGAGGAAGAGUGUUCUAGACAAAUAGGUAACGGGCACAAAGUUCCACAUUCCUCAGAUCCAAGGCCUCCAGCCUCUACAUAGAACACCACCUUGGCUGGAGUUGACAGGCUCUUGAGGCAGGUACAGUGCCUGUCUCCUUCCCUUUUGACCUGUCAGGGUAGACCACAACAGGGCCCACUCAGAUGACAGCUCCUCACCAGCAUACCUGGUCCUGGGCCCUCGGCCCUCUAGUACCUACCUCACUCACACUUCUCCCAGAGAGAAGCUUACACGCCAAACACACGGAUCCACAGAACCAAGGAAAGAAAAGAAGGCUCCUGAGAGAGCUGGACUUGAGCUCCAAGAUCUGCCUUGGGAGCCAAAGUGUGUUGUGUCUGGGACCAAAGGCCUGGCUGGCUGAGUUACAAGGUUCUCUGACAAGAUUAUUUGUGUCCUGGAGGAAGUACUUAGCAUCUCUUAGAACAUUCACUGAUUAUCUUCCUCUGUGAGAUAGACAUCUGUGGGCUCCACAAAGAGGAUGUGUGUCAAGAGCAUGGUAUACAGUGUCUCCUAGUGACUCUGCAGAUCUUCUCCCCCUGAAAAGAUGAGGAACAGUUGGAGCAGGUGUGUUAGUUAGAGUUCUUUAGAGGAACAGAACUAAUAGAAUGGAAUUCUCUCUAUAUAUAUGGAGGAUUUGUUAGUGUGACUUACAGACAGGGGUCUAGCUAGUCCAACAGUGGCUGUCUUCUGACUGAAAGGCCAACAGUCCGUGAGGCUGGAUGUCUCAGUGGCUCUUCAGUCUAAGUUGGAACCCCAAAGAGGUAGGUUCUAAUGCCAGUAAAGGGCUACCUCCGUAGCAGGGUAGAUGAACUUGACAGUGAGAGUGAGUGCGAGCAGUGAGAGUGAGUGCAAGCAGCGGAAAGCUUCCAUCUUCCAUGUUCUCCUUUAAUGUGGGCUGCCCAGAAGCUGUGGCCAGAUUUAGGAUUGGUCUUCUUCAAAUGAUCUAGAUUUAGGGUGGGACUUCUGACUUCAAAUGACCCAGAUUUAGGGGCGGGGGGGGGGUACUUCUGACUUCAAAUGAUCCAGAUUUAGAGCGGGUCUUCCCACCUCAAAGAAUCUGAUCAAGAGAACCCUUCACAGGUGUGGCCAGCUCCUUGGGCUUCAGUGUUCCCAGGUGUGGUCAAGUUGAUCACCAUCAUAGGUAAGCAGGGGGACAGACAAGCAGGCUUUGUCAGCCUGCGCCCCGCUUCCUUCCCCUUUCUUGGUAAAGAGACCAAAGAAACUGGCAAUAUCUCUUGAGCAGCAUGGAUGUGUACAUGCCACAGAAAAGCCAGCCAGCCUCUUGGUGAGCACCUCUGUGCAUUUCAAAGACUCAGUCUUCAUUAUACAGCCAUACACAGUCAGAUCCCAUGAUUUCCCUGUUGGUUUCUCGUUACCAGGCAUUCCUCACGUGGCAACAGUAAAGGAAAAGCUCUUCCCCAGCUGCUGAUUUUACAGCCCAAAGGAUUGGCUCCCUGGUCACCUGCUGACCCAAACCUCUCUGGCCCCUCAAGCAAGCUGUUGUCUCGGGCCCUGUUCCCUAGGUGUGGCUGCAUGGAGCUCACCUGGUGGUCAUGGCUGGCUGGUGACAGCACCAACUUCAGGCCACACUGGUGUGCCAGACCAGGAGGGAGGAGGCUGAGGUGACAAAGACAGAUGGCAGAUUGGCACAAUGGCGGGUCAGGCAGGAGGAGGGGGAGGAUGAGAGCGCUCCAUAGGAGGACAGGGAUCCCUUCUCCCAGCCUGGCACACCCUGCUGCCAUAGCUUGCCACUGCAGCUGGCCCCCAAGGGAGCAUCCUCCUUGUGUGUUGGCACCUGCUGGGACUCCCCAGCCCUCUUCUCCUCAUAGCUGGCCAUGCCCUACACCAUUUUAACUCUGCUCUUCAGGGGGAGUUUGCUCCUACUCUUGCAUGUCCGUGGUGCCUGCCUCAGCCCAACAUACUCACUUUUGCCCCUCAAUUCUGUGACUGAAAUUUCCACUCGACAGACUCUUCUCCUCCUUCACCUUGCUUCGUGCCCUUUCUUCCUCCACCUCUACUCUCUUCCCCUCCACCCUUUUCCUCCCCCUCUGUCUGUCCUUCCCACUUCUCAUGUGCUUACGCAGUCUCUGUAUUUCUGCCCAGCUGCUCAGUGAUAAUGUUAGUAGGAGAGAGGGGACAAGCUGGUGAAGACCCUGAGCCCUGGGGAGCACUGUGGGUGUUCCAUCCUAUGUGUGUUGGAGAAGCUAGCUGUAGCUUCAUAACAUGGAAGCCAUGUGGAUCACAUCUCUCUCUGACCAUUAGUGCUGAGGGCGAAGUGACCUGAUGGGGAGGGACCCAGCAGCAACAGGAUGGGUAGAGGAGCUAGUACCUGAUUACCAUUGGUGUCUUCUUGGAGAUAGGUGUUUGGACACACACACAAACUCCUGGAGCACCGGCCUGGCUCCCUCCUGUGGCUCUUAGUCCACACCAGGCUGAACCUAGCCCUGUGGUUCAGUGGCAAUGGAGCUGGGCCUGUACUUCCCCCCUUGAAAGAAAACACAUGAAAAGGACUCUGUUAUUGACUUGGACACAGACAGGACCUAGUACUGAGCUCCCUCUGCUGUACCUCAGCUCCCACCGAUUUCUCCCUUGUGAACCGGUGCUCUCUUCUGCCUCCUGCCCUCCCUCCUUCCCCAUCUCUUGUCACAUCCUCUGUUGUCCACUUCUGGUUCAACUUUUCAUGAGUUCACAUAGGCGGAUGCAGGAGGAGAGCUUUUAAGGUGAACAAUGUCUUAAGAGUCAUGUCCUGUAAAUGGGUGGAGCCUGUCAGUGGCAAAGGUUCUUUUAAAAGUGAUGAUAAAAUAUACAAGUGAAUGUGUAUUUCAUGUAUCUAAUGUUGGUGGCUGUGCCUAUACUGUGCUUCCCAUGGGACCACAUUUUUCUUUCCUUGCUGUCCCUUACCUGGGGAGUGUGCUGCUUUUCUUUGGGGGUAGAAAGGCAACAACAUAAACUGUGAAACAUGUGACUAAUCUGUCUCCUUAUCCCCUUCCAGCCCCUUGGUCUUGUGGUCUUGGGUACCACUUGAGUCUGAUCCUUGCUGAUGAUAGGACCUGAUGAUGGCUCCUUGGAGUACAAGCCCCCAUCAGCCAUUUUCAUUUUGUUUUCCCACUCUGGGGAGGGUCCAUGGAGGAUAUAUCAUCAGGUGGUGUUUGACUGGACCUCAGGUCAACUUCAGUCUCCUCCAAAGUGCUAUUGAUGCUAUGAGCACCCACAGCAUCACUCUGUGGGACAGGGUGACAAUGGCAGGUCACAUCCUCCAGGUAGCACAGGGUCUCAAGGGGUGAAUUACUGAAUGUUAUGUCACUGUCAAUCUCCUGGAAACUGGUGUUUAUGCUCUAGAUAACCACAGCAUUAUUACCCUGUGGGGGCGGGGUUAGAAUUAUAAUCUGUGUCCUCGAGGUAACACAGGAUGUCCAGGGAUGGAGUACUGAAUGUCACGUAACUUUCAGUCUACUGACAGUGGGGUUAUGCUGUCAGCAUGCACAGUAUCACUCUGUGGAGCAGGGUUACAAGGACAGUUGACAUCCAGGAACCACUGUAGAUCACGUAAGCUGAACCUCGAGCGGCCCUUGCUCCUUCCCUUUUCAUCCACCUCCUGCAGUUGGCUCUUCCCAGAUGAGAUGAAAGUGGACAAAACAGGUAGGACCACCUGAAGGGUUCAUGUUUGAACUGGGCUUUACAAGUUUCCCUGUUCAUUUAAAAAUGUAUCCACUGCUUAAUCAAUAAUUUAAUAUAUUGUAUGUAGCCAUGACAUCAUUAAGACUUCUCUUUCCUAGAGUUCACAUGAUUUUCUUGAACCUUAUAGCCAAUGCUACAGAUGGCUUCCACAAUCAUGGUCACUGAAAUUGUGGAAACUGUCUCUCUGUAGGCUAGUGCCAAACCUUCAUCACAGAGACAUAGCACUGGGUGCCCCACAAGCUGGCUGAUGGUCAUCCUUCAUGUGGGAUCUACAACAAUAAAGUAGGAGAUAAGGUUUGCCAAGUGUGUGGAGUUUGAUGGAGUCAGACUCUUUGGGAGAUGAUCAUCUGGUACUGUGUAUUCAUAAAGGGAAUCAGAGUACCGAGGCACCUCACAUCAUUGGAGAGUCCGUGGGAACCUCUGCCCUCCAAAACCUCUUGUGCUAAAUAACAAUGUGGACCACUGAUCUCCAUCAACAUCUGGCUACUGGUAGCUUUGAUGGUCAUCCCAAAAUCACAUAGUUGUGUAUUUCAGCCACAUCUAUGAGGAUGUUCUUGACUUUUAUGUCCCAGUGGCUGAUGUUUCUUUUAUGAAGGUACUCAACUGUGGGCACCACCUGCUGGAAAAUGGGGUGCAUCUCCUUCUUCAUAAGGCCAAAAGCUGCUAUGAGGUUGACCAAAUCUCCCCGUCACAAAUUCUGUGCACAAAUAAGAUUUUGCUUCUGUGCUAACUAACUGAAAUAGCUUCAUGAUACUCUAUACUUUCAUGAGGUCCACCUCAGAAGUAAUGUCUGAGAGCUUGUUAAUGACCUUGUCCAAGACUGUGGUGGUUACUCUGGUGUUGGUAGGGAUGUGGCAGAUGAGCUUCACUUCUGAAAAUGAGCCUGAAGCCAGUGUUGUUAAGGUCUUGUAUAGUUAUCUCUGAGGAUGUCCUCAUCUGAGGGGCUGCCCCUGAGACCCUUCAUAGAUGUGGAAAUGGCACUACCACAUGAUACUAGAAGUAAAAAAAAAAAAAAACAAAAACAAAAAACAUGAUGCAGGUCUAGAAAGCAAGUGUAUGGCUUAUGGCUAUCACUUCCUAUAUCAUGAAAA